CACGUAGGGCGCGAGCGUUGUCCGGAAUUAUUGGGCGUAAAGAGCUCGUAGGCGGCCUGUUGCGUCCGCUGUGAAAGCCCGGGGCUUAACCCCGGGUCGGCAGUGGAUACGGGCAGGCUAGAGGUAGGUAGGGGAGAAUGGAAUUCCUGGUGUAGCGGUGAAAUGCGUAGAUAUCAGGAGGAACACCUGUGGCGAAAGCGGCUCACUGGACCAUAACUGACGCUGAUGCACGAAAGCUAGGGGAGCAAACAGG
rnacentral:rRNA from 1 species